CCUUAAAAAGCUUACACUGAAUGCGUAUCUGCCACCAUAGUACAGUUGUAGCGGGCUUGCUAUAGUAAGAAGUGUCAAACGAAAAUAACUGUCAAGCUUCUCCUUAACUGAUGGAACUGCGGACGUCCUAUAGCUAAUAGGCUGCAAUUUAUGCACUGACAGAGCCGCCUGCGUUGGAGAACCGUAAACAAUUACCACAGACUGAAGCACGCAUCGAAAACAACUCUCCCCGUUGCCGCAUCUUAAGAGGCGUACACUGGCCAAGCUCCGGAUCGAAUUCUUCGUAAAGACGGACGAAGACAUUAGCGGGCAUGCUGUUCACGGAAUUGUUUGCCUUCUUCGUCAUUGCAAUGCCUACGCUCAGUGUAGUAGGCCAAGCGCCGGCGCAAGACGAAAUCAAGUCACUUCCAGGACUCGCUAUAAAGCCUCGUUUCAAGCAGUACUCGGGAUUCCUCAAUGCAGGCUCAAAUCGACGGCUGCAUUACUGGUUUGCAGCGAGCCAGACGUCGAAGGCGUCUAUCGAUCCGGUUGUCAUCUGGGUCAACGCAGGGCCCGAAUCUUGCAGUUCGAUGCUGACCCUGAUGAUGGAACACGGCCCGUUCCGGCCAACGGACAACGGGCAGCGCCUCACGCCUAACGACUUCAGUUGGA